AAACUUUAUAAAGUGUAGCUUCUAACUAUACAAAAGUAAAUAAUUUACUAAAGUUUU
rnacentral:tRNA from 1 species